rnacentral:rRNA from 1 species
GAAAAUUUUCAACGGUGGAUAUCUUGGUUCCCAUAUCGAUGAAGAACGCAGCGAAAUGCGAUACGCAAUGCGAAUUGCAGAAUUCCGCGAGUCAUCAGAUCUUUGAACGCAAUUGGCGCCGGUUCUGCCGGCAUGCCCGCUUCAGUUU